UACCAGCUCUCCGAGUGGUGUGGAUGUUUAUUGGGCCUAAAGCAUCCGUAGCUGGCUGGGCAAGUCCCCUGUUAAAUCCACCGAUUUAAUCGUUGGUGUGCGGGAGAUACUGUUCGGCUAGGGGACGGGAGAGGCCGACGGUAUUUUCGGGGUAGGGGUGAAAUCCUAUAAUCCCGGGAAGACCACCAGUGGCGAAGGCUGUCGGCUAGAACGCGCCCGACGGUGAGGGAUGAAAGCUGGGGGAGCGAACCGGAUUAGAUACCCGGGUAGUCCCAGCUGUAAACGAUGCAGGCUAGGUGUUUGGGCGGCCACGUGCCGCUCUAGUGCCGCAGGGAAGCCGUUAAGCCUGCCGCCUGGGGAGUACGGCCGCAAGGCUGAAACUUAAGGAAUUGGCGGGGAGCACUACAAGGGGUGAAGGCUGCGGUUU
rnacentral:rRNA from 1 species